UUUUAGCCCCGAUAGCAGCGGUAUCCUUUGUUUUUUUUCUUUAAAAAAGCAAAGAUACAAGCGGAUAGCGGGAAUAAGC
rfam:Flavobacterium sp. FPG59 Contig_42, whole genome shotgun sequence.